CCCUCCCAGUGAAAGUGGAUAUAAAGGAGCACACGGUGCCAGGCCCGUGGCCAACUCUGAACCACGACCAGCGCCGGAGCGUGAUAUUUGGACUUACAGAGAUCGCCGACCAAUGGGAAAAUCUGAAAGCCAAGUGGUGGUGGAGGUGCCCCCCGCCCUUCCCGUGUGCCCCCCAGGAAUGAGAAACAUGGAGAGCGAGUUUGGUGGGGCGGCCCAUCUAGUUGCACAAGACUGAGGAGGAGGAGCGGCUGGAGGAGCGGACUCGCCCCUUCUGCUUGCAGCGCGUGGCCCUUCGUGUUCCACGAGAAGAUGGAGUUCGUCCAGGCGCGUGGUCCAGAGAAGCGAGGGCGGAAAGGUCAGGACGGGAGACCGAGCAUGGAUGACCAGGGUACGGUGCGGUUGAUUUUGUUCCACCCAGCUCCACGUGGUUUCCACCAUGGGUCUCAGUGGCUCCACGUGACUCCCCCUGACUGAAUAAACGAAAUAGGUACCACCCAAUGUAGCAAAACUUUAGUCGUACUCAUGUAUUUAUUGGCUCAAUGAUAACACCACUCAUUUGACGCGAUUACCACACAAUUCACUAUUAUUGGCCACAUUCUAAAACUGUAACCGCUAAAGGGAUGCCACCUCAGGUGGUACCGACAGGUGACACAUCUGACCCCGUCUCAUGGACUAAAUACACCACGAACCCGGCGACCUGAGAUCCACCACUUGGGUUGGCUCAAUGUUAACUCGACUUAGUUGAGUACCUUUUGUGGCGUGUAAACAUCGGUAUUGGGGAGACAAAGGCGGCCGAGCGUGGUGUAGGCCACCUCACCAACUCGUGCGCCGUUCUAACCUUCAUAGGUGCUCGCUAACGGCACUUGCCCCAACAAUGUUACGGAUAUCAGGGGGA